rnacentral:rRNA from 1 species
UUAGACGGGACCCCGCACAAGCGGUGGAUCAUGUUGUUAAUUCGAUGAUACGCGAGAACCUUACCUGGUCUUGACAUCCCGGAGACCCUUAGGAAACUAGGGGUGCUUCCAUCUGGAAGAAUCUGGAGACAGGUGCUGCAUGGCUGUCGUCAGCUCGUGUCGUGAGAUGUUGGGUUAAGUCCCGCAACGAGCGCAACCCUUGCCUUUAGUUGCCAUCAGUUCGGCUGGGCACUCUAUGGAGACUGCCACCUAAAGUGGAGGAAGGUGGGGAUGACGUCAAGUCAGCAUGGCCCUUACUCCGGGGCUACACACGUGCUACAAUGGCCGGUACAAAGGGUUGCGAAGCCGUGAGGUGGAGCGAAUCUCAAAAAGCCGGCCUCAGUUCGGAUUGGAGGCUGCAACUCGCCUCCAUGAAGUCGGAAUCGCUAGUAACCGCAGAUCAGCUACGUUGCGGUGAAUACGUUCCCGGGCCUU